rnacentral:rRNA from 1 species
AGAGUUUGAUCAUGGCUCAGGACGAACGCUGGCGGCGUGCUUAACACAUGCAAGUCGAACGGUGAACUCCGCUUGCGGGGGGAUCAGUGGCGAACGGGUGAGUAACACGUGGGCAACCUGCCCCUGGCUCUGGGAUAACUCCAAGAAAUUGGGGCUAAUACCGGAUAUGACCGCUGACCGCAUGGUCUGGUGGUGGAAAGAUUUAUCGGCUGGGGAUGGGCCCGCGGCCUAUCAGCUUGUUGGUGGGGUAGUGGCCUACCAAGGCGACGACGGGUAGCCGGCCUGAGAGGGUGACCGGCCACACUGGGACUGAGACACGGCCCAGACUCCUACGGGAGGCAGCAGUGGGGAAUAUUGCGCAAUGGGCGAAAGCCUGACGCAGCGACGCCGCGUGGGGGAUGACGGCCUUCGGGUUGUAAACCUCUUUCAGCAGGGACGAAGCGAAAGUGACGGUACCUGCAGAAGAAGCACCGGCCAACUACGUGCCAGCAGCCGCGGUAAUACGUAGGGUGCAAGCGUUGUCCGGAAUUAUUGGGCGUAAAGAGCUCGUAGGCGGUUUGUUGCGUCGGCUGUGAAAUCCCGAGGCUCAACCUCGGGUCUGCAGUCGAUACGAGCAAACUAGAGUGUUGCAGGGGAGACUGGAAUUCCUGGUGUAGCGGUGAAAUGCGCAGAUAUCAGGAGGAACACCGGUGGCGAAGGCGGGUCUCUGGGCAACAACUGACGCUGAGGAGCGAAAGCGUGGGGAGCGAACAGGAUUAGAUACCCNNGUAGUCC